rnacentral:rRNA from 1 species
AUUGAACGCUGGCGGCAUGUCUUACACAUGCAAGUCGAACGGCAGGCACGGGGGCAACCCUGGUGGCGAGUGGCGAACGGGUGAGUAAUGCAUCGGAACGUGCCCAUCGAUGGGGGAUAACUGCGCGAAAGCGUUGCUAAUACCGCAUACGACCUACGGGUGAAAGCAGGGGACCGCAAGGCCUUGCGUCGAUGGAGCGGCCGAUGCCGGAUUAGCUAGUUGGUGAGGUAAAGGCUCACCAAGGCGACGAUCCCGUAGCUGGUCUGAGAGGACGACCAGCCACACUGGGACUGAGACACGGCCCAGACUCCUACGGGAGGCAGCAGUGGGGAAUCUUGGACAAUGGGCGAAAGCCUGAUCCAGCAAUGCCGCGUGUGGGAAGAAGGCCUUCGGGUUGUAAACCACUUUUGGCGGGAAAGAAAUGGUCUGUGCUAAUACCACGGAUUGAUGACGGUACCCGCAGAAUAAGCACCGGCUAACUACGUG